AACGAACGCUGGCGGCAGGCUUAACACAUGCAAGUCGAACGCACCUUUCGGGGUGAGUGGCAGACGGGUGAGUAACGCGUGGGAAUCUACCCUUCUCUACGGGAUAGCUCCGGGAAACUGGAAUUAAUACCGUAUACGUCCUGAGGGAGAAAGAUUUAUCGGGGAAGGAUGAGCCCGCGUUGGAUUAGCUAGUUGGUGGGGUAAAGGCCUACCAAGGCGACGAUCCAUAGCUGGUCUAAGAGGAUGAUCAGCCACAUUGGGACUGAGACACGGCCCAAACUCCUACGGGAGGCAGCAGUGGGGAAUAUUGGACAAUGGGCGCAAGCCUGAUCCAGCCAUGCCGCGUGAGUGAUGAAGGCCCUAGGGUUGUAAAGCUCUUUCAGUGGGGACGAUAAUGACGGUACCCACAGAAGAAGCCCCGGUUAACUUCGUG
rnacentral:rRNA from 1 species